rnacentral:rRNA from 1 species
CCUACGGGUGGCAGCAGUGAGGAAUAUUGGUCAAUGGGCGGAAGCCUGAACCAGCCAAGUAGCGUGCAGGAUGACGGCCCUCCGGGUUGUAAACUGCUUUUAUACGGGAAUAACGCGCCUUACGUGUAGGGCUUUGCAUGUACCGUAUGAUUCCGGACCGGCCAAUUCCGUGCCAGCAGCCGCGGUAAUCCGGAGGGUCCGGGCGUUAUCCGGAUUUAUUGGGUUUAAGGGGGGCGUAGGCCGCAUGUCAAGCGUGCCGUGAAAGGUCCGGGCUCAACCCGGGCCUUGCAGCGCGAACUGGCGUGCUGGAGUCCGCGGAAGGCAGGCGGAAUUCGUCGUGUAGCGGUGAAAUGCUUAGAUAUGACGAAGAACCCCGAUUGCGAAGGCAGCUUGCUGCAGCGGAACUGACGCUGAUGCUCGAAAGCGCGGGUAUCGAACAGGAUUAGAUACCCCAGUAGUC